CAUCCUUUCAGAUGUUUACCCAUCAGACAGUGGAUUAUACUGGUGUGAGUCUGAGCAGGGGAAGCGCAGCAACACUGUCAACAUCACAGUGGCUGCUGGAGCUGUGAUCUUAGAGAGCCCCGCAAUUCCUGUUUCCGAGGGAGACAAUGUGACACUUCGCUGUUCUUACAAGGAAAGAAAUGAUAAAACUUCUACAUCCGAUUUCAAUGCUAUAUUCUACAAGAACAAUAUAUAUUUCGGAGAAGAACCAAAAGGAAAGAUGAUUCUCAAUGUGUCCAAGUAUGACGAAGGCUUCUACAAGUGUCAACACCCCACAAAAGGAGAGUCACCAAAGAGUUUUCUGGCUGUGAGAGCCAGAGUUCAGCCUGUGAGUGGCUCUGUCCCUCCACCUCUGAUGUCUCUGCCCAAGCUGGUGUGCACAGUCCUGCUGUUUUUCCUGUAUACUGUUGUAUUCAUGUUAUGUAUAUACACAUACCGAAAGUGGGCUCAAGGUAAGAGUACCUGUGAAAUAUCUCAUGAUAAUGAAACAUUUUGAUUCAAUAUUGAUCAUAUGAC